rnacentral:rRNA from 1 species
CCUACGGGAGGCAGCAGUGGGGAAUAUUGCACAAUGGGCGCAAGCCUGAUGCAGCGACGCCGCGUGAGGGAUGACGGCCUUCGGGUUGUAAACCUCUUUCAGUAGGGAAGAAGCGAAAGUGACGGUACCUGCAGAAGAAGCGCCGGCUAACUACGUGCCAGCAGCCGCGGUAAUACGUAGGGCGCAAGCGUUAUCCGGAAUUAUUGGGCGUAAAGAGCUCGUAGGCGGUUUGUCGCGUCUGCCGUGAAAGUCCGGGGCUCAACUCCGGAUCUGCGGUGGUACGGGCAGACUAGAGUGAUGUAGGGGAGACUGGAAUUCCUGGUGUAGCGGUGAAAUGCGCAGAUAUCAGGAGGAACACCGAUGGCGAAGGCAGGUCUCUGGGCAUUAACUGACGCUGAGGAGCGAAAGCAUGGGGAGCGAACAGGAUUAGAUACCCUGGUAGUCCAUGCCGUAAACGUUGGGCACUAGGUNUGGGGACNUCNCGUUUCGCGCGUAGCUACGCAUAGUGCCGCCGCGGAGUACGGCCGCGACGACGUAAACUACAANAGAGUAGACGGCGNGAGACGUGCCGACGACGACGACGAGGGAGAGG